GUGAAGCGGCAACAGCUCAAAUUUGAAAUCUGGCCCCCAGGGCCCGAGUUGUAAUUUGCAGAGGAUGCUUUUGGCGCGGUGCCUUCCGAGUUCCCUGGAACGGGACGCCAUAGAGGGUGAGAGCCCCGUCUGGUCGGACGCCUAGCCUGUGUAAAGCUCCUUCGACGAGUCGAGUAGUUUGGGAAUGCUGCUCUAAAUGGGAGGUAUAUGUCUUCUAAAGCUAAAUACCGGCCAGAGACCGAUAGCGCACAAGUAGAGUGAUCGAAAGAUGAAAAGCACUUUGAAAAGAGGGUUAAAUAGUACGUGAAAUUGUUGAAAGGGAAGCGCUUGUGACCAGACUUGGGCCCGGUGGAUCAUCCAGCGUUCUCGCUGGUGCACUCCGCCGGGUUCAGGCCAGCAUCAGUUCGCCGCGGGGGAAAAAGGCUUCGGGAACGUGGCUCCUACGGGAGUGUUAUAGCCCGUUGCAUAAUACCCUGGGGCGGACUGAGGUUCGCGCUCCGCAAGGAUGCUGGCGUAAUGG
rnacentral:rRNA from 1 species